rnacentral:rRNA from 1 species
UUGAACGCUGGCGGCAUGCCUUACACAUGCAAGUCGAACGGCAGCACGGGUGCUUGCACCUGGUGGCGAGUGGCGAACGGGUGAGUAAUACAUCGGAACAUGUCCUGUAGUGGGGGAUAGCCCGGCGAAAGCCGGAUUAAUACCGCAUACGAUCCACGGAUGAAAGCGGGGGACCUUCGGGCCUCGCGCUAUAGGGUUGGCCGAUGGCUGAUUAGCUAGUUGGUGGGGUAAAGGCCUACCAAGGCGACGAUCAGUAGCUGGUCUGAGAGGACGACCAGCCACACUGGGACUGAGACACGGCCCAGACUCCUACGGGAGGCAGCAGUGUGGAAUUUUGGACAAUGGGCGAAAGCCUGAUCCAGCAAUGCCGCGUGUGUGAAGAAGGCCUUCGGGUUGUAAAGCACUUUUGUCCGGAAAGAAAUCCUUGACUCUAAUACAGUCGGGGGAUGACGGUACCGGAAGAAUAAGCACCGGCUAACUACGUG